rnacentral:lncRNA from 1 species
AAGCUCCUAGGAAUUAGGUGAACAACAUUAAUUGUAGUCUAGUCGACGUCGGGUUUUCAGAGGAUCCGACGUCUAUGCGACGUCUAAAGCUGAUCCAGUUGACGUUUGAUUUCCUGUCAGUGACUUGAACGUCGGUGCCUUCUCCUAGCCGACGUCGAAUUGACUGUCUUAUCAGAUACCUCAGGCAAUUGGACGUCGGAUAGUUGGCAGGUGUGACGUCUAUGAUGUCAUAGACGUCGCCUAACAGCGAAACUGACGUCUAGUUUUCCAAUAUAUUUACGAUAAU